CCUACGGGGGGCUGCAGUGAGGAAUCUUGCGCAAUGGGGGCAACCCUGACGCAGCGACGUCGCGUGGAGGAAGACGGCCUUCGGGUUGUAAACUCCUUUUAGUGGGGACGAGCAAGGACGGUACCCACUGAAUAAGCCCCGGCUAACUCCGUGCCAGCAGCCGCGGUAAUACGGAGGGGGCGAGCGUUGUCCGAAUUUAUUGGGCGUAAAGCGCGUGUAGGCGGACUAUUAAGCCUGAGGUGAAAGGUUGGGGCUCAACCCCAUACAGUGCCUUGGGAACUGGCAGUCUGGAGGCAGGCAGAGGAGUGUGGAAUUCCUGGUGUAGCGGUGGAAUGCGUAGAGAUCAGGAAGAACACCCAUGGCGAAGGCAGCACUCUGGGCCUGUACUGACGCUGAGACGCGAAAGCGUGGGGAGCGAACAGGAUUAGAUACCCCUGUAGUC
rnacentral:rRNA from 1 species